AUUGAACGCUGGCGGAAUGCUUUACACAUGCAAGUCGAGCGGCAGCGCGGGGCAACCUGGCGGCGAGCGGCGAACGGGUGAGUAAUGCAUCGGAACAUGUCCAUGUCGUGGGGGAUAGCCCGGCGAAAGCCGGAUUAAUACUGCAUACGCUCGAGAGAGGAAAGCCGGGGACCGCAAGGCCUGGCGCGAUUGGGUUGGCCGAUGUCCGAUUAGCUAGUUGGUGAGGUAAAGGCUUACCAAGGCGAUGAUCGGUAGCUGGUCUGAGAGGAUGAUCAGCCACACUGGGACUGAGACACGGCCCAGACUCCUACGGGAGGCAGCAGUGGGGAAUUUUGGACAAUGGGGGCAACCCUGAUCCAGCCAUUCCGCGUGAGUGAAGAAGGCCUUCGGGUUGUAAAGCUCUUUUGUCCGGAGCGAAACGGUUGCGGUGAAUAUCCGCGACUACUGACGGUACCGGAAGAAUAAGCACCGGCUAACUACGUGCCAGCCGCCGCCGUAACAC
rnacentral:rRNA from 1 species